CAAUACUAAAUUUUAUUUUCAUUUCCAUUAAAACAAUACAUAUUUACAGUUCCGUUACCUGAUGAUAAUUAUCGCAGCAGUUACAAGGUUGCAAGUCAUUUAACUGCAGCCAUGCUGGAGCACCGCCUUAAACGCUUUUAGUCUAAGAAAUAUAUAUACAAUGGGCUUCUUUCAGUUUCCGUCUACCAAAUCCACGCAGUAGGACUGAACCCGGAACCAUGUGGUUGAGAAGCAAGUUUCUUAUCACACAGCCACACCUGCUAUUGGGUUAAAGUCUUUGCAACAGAAGAUAAUAGACGGAAUUUGACGGAAAUAGUCGAAGUUAGUCUUUGUGGUACAUUGUUGAAUGUUGGCGUUUGUUGGUACAAGUUUGACCGGUUCUAUUUUGAUAUUAGCAACAAAAGCUAUUGAAAACUGAU